rnacentral:misc_RNA from 1 species
AAUUUGAUGGCUCUCUUGUUUUUCUCCGCCCCAUGCCCUCACGGGUGGUGGGGUGGACGCCAGGCAAGCCUCGUGUUCCUGGCAUGCUGCACCUAGUUGUGUGGCUGCCUAGGUCCCAUGGGAUUCUUUGCCCGUGCUCUCGGAUGCGGAAUGUUAUGUGCUAUGGGUGGGUGCUCUGUCGGAGGCCUGCAAUGCAUUUUAUCGGUUCCACGGAUGACGAGGCGUCCGUCUUUGGGCCUGCAGCCUCAUGGCUGAACGGGACUCAUG